rnacentral:rRNA from 1 species
AACGAACGCUGGCGGCAGGCCUAACACAUGCAAGUCGAACGCCGUAGCAAUACGGAGUGGCAGACGGGUGAGUAACGCGUGGGAACAUACCCUCCGGUUCGGAAUAACUCAGGGAAACUUGAGCUAAUACCGGAUACGUCCAAGGUUUUAAUCGGCCUUGGAGAAAGAUUUAUCGCUGGAGGAUUGGCCCGCGUCUGAUUAGCUUGUUGGUGAGGUAAUGGCUCACCAAGGCGACGANCAGUAGCUGGUCUGAGAGGAUGAUCAGCCACAUUGGGGACUGAGACACGGCCCAAACUCCUACGGGAGGCAGCAGUGGGGAAUAUUGGACAAUGGGCGAAAGCCUGAUCCAGCCAUGCCGCGUGAGUGAUGAAGGCC